GACGAACGCUGGCGGCGUGCCUAACACAUGCAAGUCGAACGGAAAGGCCCUGCUUUUGUGGGGUGCUCGAGUAGCGAACGGGUGAGUAACACGUGAGUAACCUGUCCUUGACUUUGGGAUAACUUCAGGAAACUGGGGCUCAUACCGGAUAGGAGCUCUUGCUGCAUGGUGGGCGUUGGAAAGUUUCGGCGGUUGGGGAUGGACUGGCGGCUUAUCAGCUUGAUGGUGGGGUAGUGGCUUACCAAGGCUUUGACGGGUAGCCGGCCUGAGAGGGUGACCGGCCACAUUAGGACUGAGAUACGGCCCAGACUCCUACGUGAGGCAGCGGUGGGGAGUAUUACACAGUGGGCGGAAGCCAGAUGCAACAACGCCGCGUGCGGGAAGACGGCCUUCGGGUUGUGAACCGAUUUCGCCUGUGACGAAGCGUGAGUGACGGUAAUGGGUAAAGAAGCACCGGCUAACUACGUG
rnacentral:rRNA from 1 species